rnacentral:rRNA from 1 species
UAGAAGUACGAGGACGCAUCCUUCGGGAAGCGAGCGUACACAGGUGCUGCAUGGCUGUCGUCAGCUCGUGUCGUGAGAUGUUGGGUUAAGUCCCGCAACGAGCGCAACCCUUGUGUUUAGUUGCAAACAGGUCAAGCUGUGCACUCUAGACAGACUGCCGUGGACAACACGGAGGAAGGUGGGGAUGACGUCAAAUCAUCAUGCCCCUUAUGAUCUGGGCUACACACGUGCUACAAUGGCCGGUACAACGGGCAGCGAAGGAGCGAUCCGGAGCGAAUCCUAAAAAGCCGGUCCCAGUUCGGAUUGCAGGCUGAAACUCGCCUACAUGAAGUUGGAGUUGCUAGUAAUCGCGAAUCAGAAUGUCGCGGUGAAUACGUUCCCGGGCCUU